ACUCUCUCAGGAUUACACCUGGAGAGUUCCCAGUAUUCUACCAGUCUUGGCUAUGGGAGGGAGAGUCAAGAGGAGGCCUACCCAUUCCAUUCCUAGCUUGGGCAGUGACUAGCCAGUGGAAGGCAACCUGCUACAUGU